CACGUAGGGGGCGAGCGUUGUCCGGAUUUAUUGGGCGUAAAGAGCUCGUAGGCGGCUCGGUAAGUCGGGUGUGAAACCUCCAGGCUCAACCUGGAGACGCCGCUUGAUACUGCUGUGGCUAGAGUCCGGUAGGGGAGUGUGGAACUCCUGGUGUAGCGGUGAAAUGCGCAGAUAUCAGGAAGAACACCAGCGGCGAAGGCGGCACUCUGGGCCGGAACUGACGCUGAGGAGCGAAAGCGUGGGUAGCAAACAGG
rnacentral:rRNA from 1 species